UUUUAGUUUGCCUAAAAAGGCUCUUUAUGCUUUUGAGAUUAUAGAAGACCAGUACCUAAAACUUCAGGUGUAAAAUUGAGAUCAUUUGCCCAACUUCUCUAUCUGCAGACGCUGUCUCAACCAGGAGGACAUGAGGAAAAGAAUGCAGACAGUCAAGUACCUCGAUACACACAUAACUGGAGGGCAACAGGAUGCUUCACAAGAUGCAGAAACUGGGAAUGACAGGGACCUUCUCCACUUCCAAGGAAGCGAAUAGACAAAGAUGCCUCAGGAUUCCUCGGCACUGUGUCUGUUUACUCCUUGGUGAAAAAGACUGUGCUGACUGCCUUUCACGGAACUCAUCUUUAAUCAGUAAUUUUACGCCCAGCUCCACACCAGAGGGGUCUUGCAGAGGCCCCCACUAUGUCACUAUAAUUCCUCAGAACAAUGCCCUCUUGGGGCCGUCUGAGGAGAAGGUAAGGAGACAGAACGUCUUGCGUUGACUCUGCCAGGCCAGGAAUGCUGAGGUUAGAAGACUACUUCGGGAAUAAAAAGAGAUAUGGAAAAUAAGAAAACGUGAGAGGAACACAAAACUGAGAAACAGAGGAAAAAUUUAAGAAAUCAAACAGAAUAUGAGGCAACUAUUCUGAGGAGCAUUUCUAAAGUCCAGCUGAUUUGCAUGUUGCUUUAAGACGGACAGAGACAUUCUGAUCUUUAUUUGCUUCCAGUAAUCUGCUUAAACUUCAAAGCGCAGCUUUAAGACCCCCAAAUUUUGAUUGCCUAUUUCAAUAUGUGGUUGAAAAUUGAGUAUCAAUUUCCUUCCCUUCUAAGUUAGAGGUUUGAUAAUACACUUCAAAGGUUCUCCACGAGGUCACUUCAUUCUAAGUUCAAGAGUGCUACCAUACUUCAUCUGCGUAAAUAUUUCAUACUCGUAAGAUCCGCAUACCACAGACAGUUACCAAAUAGACCCAAACUACAAAAUAGCUACAAAAGACAAAAGAGGCACAAGUCAGAGUCUUAA
ensembl:lncRNA